UACGAAGGGGGCUAGCGUUGCUCGGAAUCACUGGGCGUAAAGCGCACGUAGGCGGCUUUCUAAGUCAGGGGUGAAAUCCUGGAGCUCAACUCCAGAACUGCCUUUGAUACUGGAGAGCUUGAGUCCGGGAGAGGUGAGUGGAACUCCGAGUGUAGAGGUGAAAUGCGCAGAUAUCAGGAAGAACACCCGUGGCGAAGGCGGCUCUCUGGGACGGUACUGACGCUGAGACGCGAAAGCGUGGGGAGCAAACAGG
rnacentral:rRNA from 1 species